UUAAGCUAAUGGGUUCAUACCCCAUAUAUAAAGGUACUAAUCCUUU
rnacentral:tRNA from 1 species